rnacentral:lncRNA from 1 species
CUUUAUCUUGCAAAGUCAUGUAAACACAUUCUUUACAAUUCUUUACUUUUGCUAACUCUAGCAUUUCUUAUUCUUUUCAUUUCUUUACUCUUGCUAACUCUAGCAAUCAUAUUCUUUACAUUCUUUACUUUUGGCUACCUCUAGCACUUCAUAUUCUUUACUCCCUACAUUACUUUAACUUUAAACAUUGUCAUUUUCAUCAUUCUUUACGUUACAUUGGUUCUUUACCUCACACUAUCUCUAGUGUCAUUUCACUUUAACUUUAUCGAAUGCCACUCGAUCAAUAUCAUUGUGU